CUAGCAGUAUCAGAGUUUGAUCCUGGCUCAGGAUGAACGCCAGCUACAGGCUUAACACAUGCAAGUCGAGGGGCAGCGCAGUGUAGCAAUACAUGGGCGGCGACCGGCGCACGGGUGCGUAACGCGUAUCCAACCUUCCCGAUACUCAGGGAUAGCCCUCCGAAAGGGAGACUAAUACCUGAUGGUGUUCAAAUUCCGCAUGUUAUUUGAACUAAAGAUUUAUCGGUAUCGGAUGGGGAUGCGUGACAUUAGAUAGUAGGCGGGGUAACGGCCCACCUAGUCUACGAUGUCUAGGGGUUCUGAGAGGAAGGUCCCCCACACUGGAACUGAGACACGGUCCAG
rnacentral:rRNA from 1 species